rnacentral:rRNA from 1 species
AGGGUUUGAUUAUGGCUCAGAACGAACGCUGGCGGCAGGCCUAAUACAUGCAAGUCGAGCGCGCCCUUCGGGGUGAGCGGCGGACGGGUGAGUAACGCGUGGGAAUAUGCCCUUCUCUAAGGAAUAGCCUCUGGAAACGGAGAGUAAUACCUUAUACGCCCUUUGGGGGAAAGAUUUAUCGGAGAAGGAUUAGCCCGCGUUAGAUUAGGUAGUUGGUGGGGUAAUGGCCUACCAAGCCUACGAUCUAUAGCUGGUUUGAGAGGAUGAUCAGCCACACUGGGACUGAGACACGGCCCAGACUCCUACGGGAGGCAGCAGUAGGGAAUCUUAGACAAUGGGGGCAACCCUGAUCUAGCCAUGCCGCAUGUGUGAUGAAGGCCCUAGGGUCGUAAAGCACUUUCGCCAGAGAUGAUAAUGACAGUAUCUGGUAAAGAAACCCCGGCUAACUCCGUGCCAGCCGCCGCGGUAAUUCA